rnacentral:rRNA from 1 species
CAGCCGCCGCGGUAAUACGUAGGUGGCAAGCGUUAUCCGGAAUUAUUGGGCGUAAAGCGCGCGUAGGCGGUUUUUUAAGUCUGAUGUGAAAGCCCACGGCUCAACCGUGGAGGGUCAUUGGAAACUGGAAAACUUGAGUGCAGAAGAGGAAAGUGGAAUUCCAUGUGUAGCGGUGAAAUGCGCAGAGAUAUGGAGGAACACCAGUGGCGAAGGCGACUUUCUGGUCUGUAACUGACGCUGAUGUGCGAAAGCGUGGGGAUCAAACAGGAUUAGAGACCCCCGUAGUCCCUGUCUCUUAUAC